rnacentral:rRNA from 1 species
GACGAACGCUGGCGGCGUGCUUAACACAUGCAAGUCGAGCGGUAAGGCCCUUUCGGGGGUACGACGAGCGGCGAACGGGUGAGUAACACGUGGGUGACCUGCCCUCAGCUCUGGGAUAAGCCUGGGAAACCGGGUCUAAUACUGGAUAUGACUCCAUGACGCAUGUUGUGGGGUGGAAAGCCUUGUGCGGCUGAGGAUGGGCCCGCGGCCU